rnacentral:rRNA from 1 species
AUGUAUGUUUGCAAGCAUGUAUGUCUUGUAUGUAAGGUAAGGGGCUUACCUGAUGAUGAUCGCCGGUCCUUGGGUGAAUUCUGUUCAGCACUAGGUAGGAUGAAUGAAAUGAGCAUGGGUCUGGCAUGGGGUAUGUUAAGAGGUGCUCGGGUAGCCAGGGUGACUUGCCCAUGGAACCGCCGGACACCGCUCUCUGUGGCAGAGAGCUCGGCUGCCAAGGGAGUUUCACAGGCAAAUCAUCCUUGGCUAUCGAAGAUGGCCUCUUACCCCCAUGCAAGACCUCCCUCGCCUGUGUCCUGUUUGCUGGUGCACUAG